GCGUUUGUAGUCCAACAGUUAGGAUAAUUGCCUUCCAACCAAUAGACCCGGGUUCGAUCUGGCAGAGGCA
rnacentral:tRNA from 1 species